rnacentral:lncRNA from 1 species
CUGGGUGUCUUCCAUCCUCCAGCACACUAGCUGGAGCUGUUCUCGUGGUGAGAGCAGAAGUACAGGAGAAAGCAAGCCCCAAGAGCAAGCCUGUUAUAAGUCUCAGCUUGUGUCAGACUUUUGAUUGAGUGUCAAGGAGCAGGGUAUGCUAUGUUGCCCACAGUGAGAAGGCACUACAAAAACAAAACAAAACAAAACAAAACAAAACAAAACAAAACAAAACAAAAACUAUGGAAAAGGAUAUGGAUAUAAGGGUAGAUGCAGAAUUUGGGCCAUUUUUGCAAUCUAUCACACAGGCUGACUAAGCAUUCUAAAGAGCCCAUGUAGAAGGCAGCCGUACAUGAGGUGAAAACCAUUGCAUGAAAUGUCUGCUUCCAUUUCAACAACACCAUCUUCACUUAGACUCAGUCUCCUUUUGAAAAUACAAAAACACAAUUUUGAAAAUUUUGAGGUCCAGUGUGCAAAUUCCAGCCCCAUGUCUUGUAUUUCUGGGAUUACUUCAACUAAAAAAAAAAAAAAACUAUCGUGAUGUCUAUUUUGUUAAGAUAGACAAAAUAAUAAAAGACUAAAAAUAAUAUCCAAAGUUUCUAAUGCAUAAUAAGCACUUGACAAAUUAUAAAUGCUCUGCUUGUUAUUAGUAGAAAAUUCACUAUUUGUAUUAUGAAAUAUAACCAUCAGUCAGUGUGAUCUGUGGCCACAAGCAUAAAAUUAUGCAACCACAAUUGCAUAAGAUUGAAUUCAUAAGACUGAAUCUCCAAAAUUAUUACUAUUCAAAGUAAAAACACCUUUUACCUCCACAUGUAAAGUUACUCUACGGUAGUCAUGAUGGCUUGAGUAUCCAGACUUUUCUUUUCUUUUUUUUUAAAAAAAGUUGAGCUUUUAUAUGUAUAUCUUCAAGUUUUUGUCACUGUUUCGAUAUAAAAAGGGAUUGAUGAUACUCUUAAAGGUUGUCUGUCUUUUUUGCUUUAGCAUAAAUAAAAUUGGCUCAAAAUUCAGACUGCAUUGUGGGAAAGCAUGGAGUGAUAUUUCUGUUCUAAUCUCCAGUACCCGCACCAAGGACUAA